rnacentral:rRNA from 1 species
UACGUAGGCAGCAAGCGUUGUUCGGAGUUACUGGGCGUAAAGGGUGCGUAGGCGGCUUUUUAAGUUUGGUGUGAAAUCUCCCGGCUCAACUGGGAGGGUGCGCCGAAUACUGAGAAGCUAGAGGUGUGGGAGAGGAAAGUGGAAUUCCUGGUGUAGCGGUGAAAUGCGUAGAUAUCAGGAGGAACACCGGUGGUGUAAACGGCUUUCUGGACCAUAACUGACGCUGAGGCACGAAAGCGUGGGUAGCAAACAGG